GAUGAACGCUGGCGGCGUGCCUAAUACAUGCAAGUCGAGCGAACAGACGAGGAGCUUGCUCCUCUGACGUUAGCGGCGGACGGGUGAGUAACACGUGGAUAACCUACCUAUAAGACUGGGAUAACUUCGGGAAACCGGAGCUAAUACCGGAUAAUAUAUUGAACCGCAUGGUUCAAUAGUGAAAGACGGUUUUGCUGUCACUUAUAGAUGGAUCCGCGCCGCAUUAGCUAGUUGGUAAGGUAACGGCUUACCAAGGCAACGAUGCGUAGCCGACGUGAGAGGGGGAUCGGCCACACUGGAACUGGGACACGGUCCAGACUCCUACGGGAGGCAGCAGUAGGGAAUCUGCCGCAAUGGGCGAAAGCCUGACGGAGCAACGCCGCGUGAGUGAUGAAGGUCUUCGGAUCGUAAAACUCUGUUAUUAGGGAAGAACAAAUGUGUAAGUAACUAUGCACGUCUUGACGGUACCUAAUCAGAAAGCCAUGGCUAACUACGUG
rnacentral:rRNA from 1 species